UGAAAGUGAGUUGAUUAGAAGACAAUAGUUCUGUUCUGCAGCAACUUUGGGUGUUUCAUAUUUAGUUUUAUUCUGCACUGGAACAAAAUCAUAACCUUUCAAAAGUUUUAGUGAAAAUGGACGUGUGUCAAAAUACCUAUUUUCUGACCAAAACUAUAUGUGCAUAUCCCUAUCCAUCCUAGUUGUUAUUGCAGUGGCCUAGGUUGAGGAAGAACCAGGUUCAAGCCCCUUCUCUGCUUCAGAGUUUUUCAUCCCAGGUUACUGAAUAAGACAGAACAGAGACUCAAACCUUCAUCUCCUAUAUUGCAGUGACAGGGCAAUUCAGCUCUCAGGCAAUCCUGGAUCUAAAACAUCUGGCAUAACUGAAGUUUUUUUAAAUGCAAAGUGGGCCUGAUCUCUGGCAUCAGCACACAGCAGGAUUAUCCAGUUACACUGACUCUCUCCUCAGCACCUACGCUACCAACACUGCUAGCUAUCUUCAAGACACCACUGACUUUCUGACAAAACUACAGAACAUCAGUAAUCU